rnacentral:rRNA from 1 species
GACGAACGUUGGCGGCGUGCUUAAUACAUGCAAGUCAACUGAAGCAGUGGUAGCAAUAUCGCUGUGGAGGUGGCGCACGGGGGAGUAACACGUAGGUAAUCUGCCUUCAGGUCUGGCAUAACUCCGGGAAACCGGGGCUAAUAGCAGAUGAUGCAGCGGCUCGACAUCGAGACAGUUGUUAAAGCUAUGGCGCCUGAAGAUGAGCCUGCGUCUGAUUAGCUAGUUGGCGGGGUAACGGCCCACCAAGGCAACGACCAGUAGCUGGUCUGAGAGGAUGAUCAGCCACACUGGAACUGCGGCACGGUCCAGACUCCUACGGGAGGCAGCAGUAAGGAAUAUUGCUCAAUGGGAGAAAUCCUGAAGCAGCAACGCCGCGUGAGGGACGAAGGGCUUUUGCUUGUAAACCUCUGUAGUGAGAGAAAAAAAUCCCAAUCUUUGGGACAUGAUGGUAUCUCAAAAGUAAGCCCCGGCUAACUACGUG